GUCCCUUCCAACUCGGAAUAUUUUGUGAUUCUGUGAAAAAACCCCAAAACCUCUUCCAGCCACAUUUGCAUUGCCAGAUACGCUCAAACAAAUAGAACAGUGUCCCCUGUGAAUUAUUCUAGUCAGAAGUACUUCCUACCUCCUCCCUGUCAACACAGCCUUCGGUCCUAUGUUCACCAAAAAAUCUCUCAAUUCCUUACUCACACAGGUAGAACAAUUACUGGACACAUGCACAGGAGAAUGCACUUGCUACCCACCCAGGUUUCUGAGGAACUGGCCCGCUCUCCAUUCAACUGUUUUACCUAGACUGUCCAUUUGGGAAUAUCAACAUUUCCUUCCACACCAACUUUCACAAAACACUUUUCCUUUGAGAUGGAGAGUCCUUAAUGAUGUGGGUAAUAAGUUCUGCACUGCCUGGUGUAAACCAAACUUCACUGAGAAUUGCAGGAACGUAACACUACUGUGAAAGUCAACUCAGGACAAUGUGUCUUAAAUACAUUUGCUUCAGCUGUAGAUAUCUCACUAAAACCAAAAUUGGUUUCUCGUCCUGCAGUGAACCGUAUUAGGCUUGAAUUCAGUGGGAGCUUUGCCUGCCUUAGGAAUUUUAUAGGGAAUGAUGAAGCCAAGUGAGCCAGGCUAAUGUACAAGGCAGGCUUGUGUAAAUUGCUGAGAGGAAAAUGGAAAUGACGGAAAGGUCUGAGAGCUCCAGAAGAAGCUGAGCCAUUUAAUUGAUUCUUUUCUUGUUGCUUUCAUAUGUAGGUGAGAAAGCUGCCAGGGUCUUAAAGUUGCUUUUUGUCUUCCCAUGUAAAGGUAACCUUGAAUAUCUUUAAAACAUGCUGACAGUCAAGUACUGCUAAAUCAUCCUGGUCAGUUAAAGAUAUAUAAUAGAAGCAGAAAGGAAGGGAAAUCUUUAGAGGAGUCUAAGUAGAGAAGUUUCUUUAAAAAUAAAAUAUCAAAAUGGAAAGAAAGACUGAAUGCUAUGCUGUAUAUGUCAACAAAAAUCCCCUUAUUUUCUUAUUUACGGAUUUCAUUGAUAAUGAGGCACGCUGGCAUGCUUUGGGUUUUCAGUAUGACAUGCUGUGAUUCCCUAUUCUAUAAAGAAGUAACCUGUACACUCCACAACAGUGAAAUGCCUUAAAAAUGGAAAUUAUCUAUAUUCAUUAGAGUCUGUGCUAGAGCUCACAGGUUCUGUGUUAGGGCUCACAAAGCCAUGGAGACCCAGGUGAGCAGUCACUGGACAAAGGCAGCAAAUUGCUUGGUACUGCAAAGGGAAGUUUCCGUAAACCUUCUGCCAGGCUCAGUCUGUUUUACUGUGCAAGAGACAAACUGCAGCUUCAAUUACUAUAAGAGCAUUACAGGGAAUUUUUUGUCAGUAAGAUGCACUCCACUGAUCCCAGACAAUGUUUCCACUGCAUUAUUGUUACCAGCUUUACAAAGUCAAUGUUUUCCAGGCUUACUAGCAUAGUAAAUAAUGUCUAUUUUACACAAUAUCCAGAAUAUGAAGUAGUUGUAACUAGCUAUUGGUCUCUGUUGAUUUUUUCUUAUUAUUACUUUUACAGCAAAAAUGAUACACCACAAAUAUUCUUCUCCAUAUUCACAUAAAAUAUGCAUGCAUUGUCUUACACUGAUUUUAACUACUCAUAUCCCUGAAGUCUCAGCUUGUUCAUUGUCAGCCAGUAAAGAAUUAACCCUUCUUAUUUAGUCUAUACCAGAUUAAUCACUAUGAAAUGCUACAUGCCAUUUUGGUUUCUUCCCUUGUUCCGUCAAGGUUACUCCAUAAUUGGACAGCUCUUCUCACUGGCGUGUUUUGUUUUCAUUCACCUUCGUUUUUCAUACCUUAAUUUCAGUCUGCUACCCUUCAAUGCUUUGUUUCAUAAAAUGGAAAUGAUUCAUCUCUCUUGAUGCUCACACCCCUGAUGCAUUUGUCAAAUGACUCGUGUGGUCCCACUAGUGCAGCUCUCUGAAGGGUGUCAGUUCAGUGGGGCAGGCUUAGAACAUGCCCAGGAGAGAAAAUAAACUGCUGCAAAACUUCAUUUGGACAUGUUGUCCCCUCACCCCCAACCCCUGCAUCAGAAGAAGACUGUCUCUAAUACAUGGAACACUCAGAAGAUGCCAGGUCCAUACACAGCAGCCCUGUCUGAAUGCUCAGCCCUAGCUGAAUAUUUUUGCACAUGUUUAAAUUCCCCUCUCUUUGAGAGGAUUGAAACACUGGAGCAUUUGGCUGGAAAGAGAUUGCUUUAAACGUGCACUUACGUGCUUUGCUGAUCAGAAUGUGCUCAUGUUAAACCUUACAUGGCAAAAAAAUGGAUGUUUCUGAACUGCAUCCAAGCAGGCACCAGCAAUUUCUGCUCACGGCCACCAAUCAGGCAUCAGCACAAUGGGACCUUGAUUGGUCCUUACAGGGGCUGCUGCAAUACAAAUGGGAAAGAUUUUCUGCUCAUGAAUAACAGAUAAAGUGUCAUCCUACUGCUUGAGAAGUGAAAUAUCUAGGAGACAGUCUGACCUUUACAUCCUCCUUACUUACUCACUUUGUAGAAACAUUACUAUUUACAAGUCUGUUUUUGUACAAUAAAAAAACCAAAAAACACCCUAAUUCCAUCACUGUUUAGCAGGCAAAACUCAUACAGAGAGGAGAUAAAACCUGCAUCCUCCCCUGGGCUUUUGCUUGGGAAUGGCCACUGGCCAGCUGGAGACCGCUUGCUUGUUUACAUAAGAACAAAUCACACUCUUGUCUGCCAGCAGGUCUAUUUCUACUCGUUGUCACAGUAAUAAAUCAAUUGUUGCUGCAAAACACAGCUCCUCUCCAACUCGUGGGGAAUCUGCAAACUCUCUGCAGCCCAAAUGUCAACCAAUUGCUGGCUGGGCUUUCAGGCUGGAGUGGUGGUUAUUGUUUGCCAGUUCCUUAUUUGCAUUGGAACAGUAAAUUCCAUUCGCAGAAGCCCUUACCGUUUGGACCCGUUUGCCUUAGAAAGAAACUAAUUGCUGCCGUACAACAUCAUCCCUGCUGUGACUCACAUAGGGCACAUUUGUACUGCCUUGGCUGAAGGAGUGAACCUCAGCUGCCAGCUGGACUUCAUCCUUGCACACUGGAGCUGUUACUGCCCUCCUCAUGUUGGGGCUCUUACUGUCACAGCUGUUCACAUGAGACCUGAGCAACUCGAAGAUGCAUUAAAGUGAGCUCUCCCAUAUCUGAUUCAACUCGUCUGCACAGAGUGACUGCAGAAUGUUUCUGAGUUGGAAAAGAUGUAAAGAAGCUAUAAAGAUUUUCAGUGAGCAUCUGGGGGCUGACAGGGGAGGGUGCAUGAAGGCUUGGCUCAGAGCAGAGCUUGGCUCAGCCCCCUGAGAGUGGUCAGGAGAGGCAUCCAAGCCUCUCUACUUCCCCCCACUCAUCUGACUGCCCUCUAAGAAUUGGUUGGCAGUGAGUAGGUGGGUGGCAAAGGAUGGUUGUGUCUGAUAUUCCACCAAAAGAGAUCUGUCUUUUCCUACUCCCCAUACAGAAAACACUAUUGCCCAGAAUUCCCCGAGGCUCAAAGUACAAGAGAUAUCAUAAGAGGUAAGUAGGGAAGCCUAGGAGACUCAACAUUUUUCCCUCAGCUAAACCUUAGGGAUGCCAAAGUUUUUUUUGGAGGGGAAUACAUUUUUAAUCACAGGGUUGUAGAUAGCCCCAGCAUGACAACAUUCAGGUCCAUGACUGAGACUUGCACGUGUCAGUGCAUGUGACAGUGACAUUUGGCUUUUCUGGCUAAGCUGUCAUAGGAUAACCUGUGCCACCCUGAAAAGCUUGUGGCUCUUUAGCUUCGGGAUUUUUAGAGGGAAAAAAUAAAAAGCGCUGUUCAAUGUGACUAAAGAAGCUGCAACCUCUUGUAAGUAAAUAGGCUGUUUGCUGAAAUCCCCACAUUGCUUUGAGCCGCUUGAUAGGUCACAAGAUGUUCUGUCACAUCCACCAAGGGAAAUAAAAUGAGAUAACUGGAUUCCGCUACAUUUCUUACUGUUCUAGGGUAAAUGAGAUAAUAGUGAUGACAUAGACAUGGGGGAGAGGGAGAUAAUUUGCUGGUACACUGUCUUCUGGGCUGAGCUUUCUCAUCCAAACUAGUACAUUUUGUAGACUGAAAAAUUUAAUUUUGAGCAGCAAGGCAAAAACAUUACGGUGCAGUCCAACACUGCUGAUUCUUGGGCAGCCUGCAAUUAGAAGUGGAGUGCAACAAAGUAAUCUACAAUCCCAGAUUUCAACCUAAUUCACUGCUACAUCAAUCCAAGACACAGGAUGCAAAAAACCACAAAGGAUCUUCUGUACAAUGGUCCUCUGAUGAGAACAAACCACUUCCAGCUGCAGGGGGAAGGCAAGGAUCUUGGCAGUGGGCUGUAGGACUGGAAAUGUGCCUUACAGUGAGGUUUUACCCAAGGACCCUUAUCUACAACCUAGUGCUGCAUCUUCUCGUCUCAGGGAAUGUAUGGGGCAUUUCCCUGUGCUGCGCUAUUGCUGUGUGAGAAAAUGUUUCGUACAAGAAAAUGAGAUUUAUUUCUGCUGAACAGUCAGUGAGGGAGGGUGAUGGACAUUUGGGAUGCAUGUCUCUAGGUAUUGCUUCAUUUAUAAACAGAGACUGAAGUGAAAACAGCUUUUUCAUCAUUAAUUUGGUUCCACUGCUUUCUCUCCUGUUCAGACUGGACCAUUGCUACAAAUUAAUGGGAAACAAUGCUUACUCCAGUGAAAGAUCAUCAGCAUUCAAUUGCUCGCUUAUCUGCCUCCUCUGAUCAGGUGACAAAAGACACACACCAUCACAGUAAGCCACGUCCUCUGGCAGUCAGGGGAUCUUCCAACACUUUAGUAUUUAAUGACUCAAAAACCUGUCACGGUAAAGGCUGCAGGAAUGAAAGGCUGCAGUCUGAAAGAUCUGCCUUAAAUAAUGAAAAAUUGGUUUUGGUUUUUUUUUUAGUCUGCCCAAGUAAAGGUUUAGAGAUGGCUUGAUCAAAUACCAGCAUAGCUAGGAAGUUCCAGGUAGCUGAGGAGUUGUUAAUGUAACAGACAAAAGCAUAAAGUGCUAAGUGUAGCACACUCUAAGUAGAUGCACAAUAUCAUAGCAAGGAAUUAUUUUACUGUGGAGGGAACUAAUUCUGGAUGGGUGGAUUUUGCCACCUGGACUCUUGGGUACAUAACAUUUCAAAAGAUGUGACUACUGAGAAGUCAGUCACUCAAAUGUUAGUACCCAGUGUACCUGCGAUGGUGAGGGUGUCCCUCCUGGCCUGGCAUGAACGAUGCAUAUUUCCCAUAAGUGCUGUUCUGUAUCCGCUGAUCCCAGAGAGAUGAAGAGCAUCUCAUGGGGUACUAAACUCCUAAACAUCCUGAAAUGAAUCAAACUGUCAGUGGAUUUAGGCAGAGCAGAACUUUCAGAUGCCCUGUGCACUGGAAUUUGUUUCCAGCUGAGACCAAAGUAUCAUUUACGUUGGAAGAAACCUUUUGAAAUCCCCCAGUUCAAUCCCCCUGCUCAAGAACAGCCAGGUGAAGCACGUUGUCCAGGACCAGGUCCAGACAGGGUGAGCUGUCUGAGACACCUGCAAGGGAUGGCAAAUACACUCUAGGGAACACAUAAACCUUUCUGAAGUGCCUUCAGGAGGCCAAGAGAGGUGCUUCACAGCACCUGAACUGAUAAUAGAUGUCUGUGUUUGGGCAAAUGAAUCCCAGCCUUUGUGUCUGCUUGAACAUGGUUCCUGGAACUUUCAGCUGCCUGCUGGGCUCCAUCAUCAGCUUUGAGUAGAUUUCCACUGACUCCAGAGGGAUCUGAGAGUGUGCAGUGUCUUAAUGAUGACCUGAACCUUCACUUCUGCUGUCUGCUGUCUGCUUCCUGAGUUUGUAAUCACAUGGUGAGGUACAGAGCAUUUUACUGAGGAAAAGCAAAGAGAAUGGUCUUGUUUUACAAAAAAAACCCCAUGCAGCUGAAUAGUCUUCUGUCACAAAAGAAUCAUAGAAUGAGUUUCUCCCUUGCUGCUUGGUUAGAAAAACAUCUAUCAGAUAUAAAUAAAGGUACCUUAAUCACAUGGUAUUAAGGAUGGUUCCACAGUCUGUGACACAAGCAUGAUGGGAUAAACUUUCAGGCUUCCCUGUUAGAUCAGAGGGUGCCUGGAUCUGGCUGCUGGGCCCCUACCUGUAAAUCAUAGAAUCAUUCAGUCUGGAAAAGACCUUUAACAUCAAGUUCAACUGUAAACCUAGCAUUACCAAAUCCUGUCCUCAAAUCAUCAAGCUGCAUUACCCAACAUCUGCUUCUGAUCUCAGAUCAAAAGAGAACUUGUGCCAGUUGUGUCAGUAGAAAAUGAGAUAAAAAUCAGCAGUGGGCCGUGUGUUCUGUCACUGGAUCAGAAACAGCCAAGGGAGCAGAAUGGUGGCUGCUCUUCAAAAUGCAAGAGACACUCCAGCAGCUCCUGCAGCCUUGGCUCCUGCAGCCCAUGACCUUUACAGAUCAACCACUGCUCUGCGCAGCUCCUCAUCUUGUUCUCCCACCCUGAAAUGCCUUCAUGUCCAGGUUCCUGAUCCCUCAUGUAAAUGGAGACAGCAUUAUAAACUGUGCUGUCAUCUCCUAUUCUGGAAAUGUAAAUUCAAGGGUCUUUCAACAAUGGCUGGGAACAGUGUGGUUAAUGUGUUCCAGCUGAUGAGACUAGAUCAAGCCAAUCAUAAACUUUUUUUCUUAGUCUGCAAGGAGAUUUACCUUCCAGGUUUUAAUAUUGGUGGUGGAAUGUAGAGUGGCAUUUUCCUAAACUAACUCAGUACCAAAUUUUGGUCUGUUACAAUACUCAAAGAUUACAUCUAACUUCACAAAUUUCUCAGCAUUUUAACAGAAGUGUUGCCUUGCCUGGCUUCCUCUAGACAGCUUCUCAUGCAUAUUCAAUUUGAACAAACAAAACUCUGCGUAAUGACUCUGAUGUUAUUGUCCUAUGAUUUCAAAAGGAGGGAAAAUCACUUGGGAUAAUUGAUGAUCACGGUCAGUAUUCUGACUACAGACAAAAUAACUAAAUCAUGUGAUUUCACAUACAGAAUCAUCUGAAUAAAAAUAAAAGGCUAACCACCCACACAACUCAAUUAACAAACUAUCAAGAAGUACUCUCAUGUUUAUUAUUGCAAUAAAUCUGUGAUUUAAAUUCAGUGGCAAAAUAUUUGCAAACAUUUACUCAAUUACUGAAUGCUCAUUUUUUAUCAUAAGAUGAAUCAGAUGAAGCUCAAGUAGUGCUGUAGCUCUGUGAUGUUUAGUGCCACACAUAAGUUUAGCAUCAUAUUCUUUAGUCCUCGCUGUGGCCUUGCAUAGAAACUCUGUGACAUCAUCUCCUGUUUAUUACAGAUGGAGUGACAGAGACAGAUUUUACCUCUGUCAAAUUAGCAUUAACACUUGGUUGUAGUCAUGUCAUGAACUUAUCCCUCCAUCAGACUGCCUGGUAUGGUGUUAUAUUGCAGAAAAGAUAUCGUCAUUGAUGUGUUACUGGGAAGAACAGAAACAUCAAAGCUGCAGUGCAGUUACUGGAGAACAAAAUGAGUCUGAUUCAUCACCCUGAAAAAUCCCAUCUGAAACAAACGUCUUGAAAAGCAAGCACAGUUGCACUUUUUCAGCUGAGAACAAUGAGAAAAGUCAGUGUGCAUGAGAGACAGAGCAUUUGCCACUUGUCCAGGCUUGAUGGGAACAUGAAAGGACAUACUGCUAGUUAGCAUGAAAGCAAAGAGAGAGGUGGGAGUAGCACAGGAUUUAGAAGGGCAAUAGAGAGCAGAAGAAUGAAAAGCAGUACAGAGACACUACAGAAGAAGGGAAGGGUUACUUUCUGUAUGGUGCUGAAAAUGUGUAUUGGCACAGUGUCGCCCACUGACAAUCCAGAGGCUGGCAACUAUGAAGCUAUGAAGUCAACUCCUUAAUGAGCUUCAAUCUAUUCCCAUAUCCCUAUUUACCCAUUUGCCUCAGAAUGAAAUGGCCAUUCUGUUAUUCCACAACCUGCACAGACUGGAGUCAUUUAACUGGAAAAAAUCCAGCACAGAAAGAUAUUACAUGUUCAUGAAAAUUUAUGGCUCUAUGUUCUGUCUCUUUAAUUUCCAGCUGGUAAUUCUUGUUAGUGAGUCCUACAGAAAAGUCUCAACAAAACUGAAAACAUGAAUAAUUGCAAUGAAAUAAAACCAUUGUAUUAUUCUCACUGA